rnacentral:rRNA from 1 species
UACGUAGGGGGCAAGCGUUGUCCGGAAUCAUUGGGCGUAAAGAGCGUGUAGGCGGCCCGGUAAGUCCGCUGUGAAAGUCCAGGGCUCAACCCUGGGAUGCCGGUGGAUACUGUCGGGCUCGAGUCCGGAAGAGGAGUGUGGAAUUCCUGGUGUAGCGGUGAAAUGCGCAGAUAUCAGGAGGAACACCAAUGGCGAAGGCAGCACUCUGGGACGUGACUGACGCUGAGACGCGAAAACGUGGGGAGCAAACAGG